rnacentral:tRNA from 1 species
CUCCUCGUAGCGGAGGUUGAUGCUCUUGCCUUCGGCGCGGGGGCGGAUGGCGGCGCUGUCCCCGUCGAAGGUGAC